UACAGAGGUCUCGAGCGUUGUCCGGAAUCAUUGGGCGUAAAGCGCGUGUAGGCGGCUCGAUAAGUCUGCUGUGAAAGUCCAGGGCUCAACCCUGGAAUGCCGGUGGAAACUGUCGAGCUAGAGUCCGGAAGAGGCGAGUGGAAUUCCUGGUGUAGCGGUGAAAUGCGCAGAUAUCAGGAGGAACACCAAUGGCGAAGGCAGCUCGCUGGGACGGUACUGACGCUGAGACGCGAAAGCGUGGGGAGCAAACAGG
rnacentral:rRNA from 1 species